UACGGAGGAUGCGAGCGUUAUCCGGAUUUAUUGGGUUUAAAGGGUGCGUAGGCGGUCCGUUAAGUCAGCGGUAAAAUUGCGGGGCUCAACCCCGUCGAGCCGUUGAAACUGUCAGACUUGAGUUGGCGAGAAGUACGCGGAAUGCGCGGUGUAGCGGUGAAAUGCAUAGAUAUCGCGCAGAACUCCGAUUGCGAAGGCAGCGUACCGGUGCACAACUGACGCUGAGGCUCGAAAGCAUGGGUAGCGAACAGG
rnacentral:rRNA from 1 species